rnacentral:rRNA from 1 species
UGCCAGACUCCUACGGGAGGCAGCAGUGAGGAAUAUUGGUCAAUGGGCGGGAGCCUGAACCAGCCAUGCCGCGUGAAGGCGAGUGCCCUACGGGCGUUAAACUUCUUUUGUGCGGGAGCAAUAAGGGCCACGUGUGGCCCGAUGAGAGUACCGCACGAAUAAGCAUCGGCUAACUCCGUGCCAGCAGCCGCGGUAAUACGGGGGAUGCGAGCGUUAUCCGGAUUUAUUGGGUUUAAAGGGUGCGUAGGCGGCGCUUCAGGUCAGCGGUGAAAUACCGGGGCUCAACCCCGGGGCUGCCGUUGAAACUGGCGGGCUGGAGUUGGAGAGAAGUACGCGGAAUGCGCGGUGUAGCGGUGAAAUGCUUAGAUAUCGCGCAGAACCCCGAUUGCGAAGGCAGCGUACCGGCUCCACACUGACGCUGAGGCACGAAAGCGUGGGUAUCGAACAGGAUUAGAUACCCGUGUA